UAUAAAUCCAAAACAGUACUCUCAAAGUGAGUAAGAGAUAUAGAGGGAGACAAGAAAGGAGAAAAGAUAAAGGUAGUGAGAUUAAAAUACAAUUAAAUCUAAGGGCUCUUUAAUCAGUGGAAUUGCUUUACUUACAAGGAUCUCUAGGAGCCAAACCACACAAAAGAAGCCAAAACCAAGAGUGAGAGAGAUGGACUGAAAGAAUCAAAGCAAACCUUACAUGCAUGAUUUUAUGCCUACUAGAACAUUUCUUGGUCUUUGUUCCACGCACUUCUACCUCUUCUAUAGUACAUAUCAAAAUGAUUCUUUGGAUAUCUUUCUCUUUACAUGCUAACAAACAUAUCAUUACUCUUCAUCAACUCAUCAUCAUCAUCAUCAUCAUCAUCUCAUUUCUCUCUCUCUCUUUCUCUCUCUCUCCCUCUCUCUCUCUCUCUCUGUGUAUCUCAUGCACACUCAAAAAUAAAGGAAGGAGAUCACUAAAGUGACCGCAAAAGCUUAUGACCAUCUUUGUCAAGAAUCUUGAAUGUGUAUUUUUUUUUUGUGUAAGGGAAGCUAAUUGUCUUCUUUACACACCCCCAAACACAACCAACAACACAUAAAGCAGUGCGUAUGCACUUUGGCAAAGCAAUGAUAUUUUUGGCUAAAUUUAGGAGUGUUUAAAGAUUUUCCCAACUCAUUUGCUACAUCCAAGAUGAGACGUCCCCCCACCCCCACCCCCUAAUUCAUCAAGAAACUUCACCGUCGCCCGCCCUCCCUCCCUCCCUCUACGCCCUCCCCGGCGGCCGCCCAGCCUUGCCUGCUCUUCUGCAAUACAAAAUUUCAUCCAAUUCUGGUCAGAUUGUGAAGCAAUUCUCGCAACAUUUCAUCAUGCAAUGCUCAAAUUCAGAGAAGAGUGAGGAUUAAAACAACCCAGCUACAACUAACAGGUGGACAAAAGAAGAAAAAUGCAAGAAGAUAGUAUGAGGCUACAUGAAAAAUUUGUAAGCCAUGACAACUAAAUCAAAAUUCAUAUUGCGCGAUGAAGAACACUUGGCAAAAUACUAAUAGCUACUUACUAAUGAAGAGGUGAAGAGCAAAAUCUGAUGACAGAGCAAUCAAGUACCUGUUGUGGAUAGGAUCAGGCCCAUUUGGCACUCUCCUCUUGGUAGCACUGAGAGGAUCCAUUUUCAUCUGAGAAUUGGACCUCACCGUCGUCGCUGACAUUCCCCUAGAACUCAGAG